rnacentral:rRNA from 1 species
AUUAUCUUCGGGUAAUGGAAGGUGGCGGACGGGUGAGUAACGCGUAAAGAACUUGCCCCUCAGACUGGGACAACUGUUGGAAACGACAGCUAAUACCGGAUAUUAUGAGACCUUGGCAUCAAGGUUUUAUGAAAGCUAUAUGCGCUGGGGGAGAGCUUUGCGUCCUAUUAGCUAGUUGGUGAGGUAAUGGCUCACCAAGGCGACGAUAGGUAGCCGGCCUGAGAGGGUGAACGGCCACAAGGGGACUGAGACACGGCCCUUACUCCUACGGGAGGCAGCAGUGGGGAAUAUUGGACAAUGGACCAAAAGUCUGAUCCAGCAAUUCUGUGUGUUUGAUGAAGGCCUUCGGGUUGUAAAGAACUUUCAAUGGGGAAGAAGCAAGUGACGGUACCCAUAGAAGAAGCGACGGCUAAAUACGUGCCAGCA